rnacentral:rRNA from 1 species
GACGAACGCUGGCGGCGUGCUUAACACAUGCAAGUCGAACGGAAAGGCCCCGCCCUUGUGGGGUGCUCGAGUUGAGAACGGAACAGUAACAUGACACUAAACUGACCUUGACCCUGGGUUAACUUCAGCACAUUGGGGCUUAUCCAGGACGGGAGAUCCUGCUGCUUGGUCGGGGUUGGUAUGUUUCGGCGGUUGGGGCUGGAGUCGCGGCUUGUCAGCCUGUUGGUGGGGUUGUGGCUUUGAAAGGCUUCCACGGGUAGCCGGCCUGAGCGGGUGACCGGCCAGAUUGGGACUGAGAUGCGGCCCAGACUCCGGCGGGAGGGAGCAGUGGGGAAUAGUGCACAAUGGGCGGAAGCCUGAUGCAGUAACGCCGCUUGCGGUAUGACGGCCUUCGGGUUGUAAAGCGCUUUCGCCUGGGACGAAGCGUGAUUGACGGUAAUGGGUAAAGAAGCACCGGCUAACUACGUG